rnacentral:tRNA from 1 species
GCAGUUAUAGUAUAAGUUAAUACUUUACAUUUUCAUUGUAAAAAUGAACAAAGAUUGUUCUAACAGCU